rnacentral:rRNA from 1 species
UGCGUAGGCGGAUGUUUAAGUGAGAUGUGAAAUACCCGGGCUUAACUUGGGUGCUGCAUUUCAAACUGGAUAUCUAGAGUGCAGGAGAGGAGAAUGGAAUUCCUAGUGUAGCGGUGAAAUGCGUAGAGAUUAGGAAGAACACCAGUGGCGAAGGCGAUUCUCUGGACUGUAACUGACGCUGAGGCACGAAAGCGUGGGUAGCAAACA